rnacentral:rRNA from 1 species
AUUGAACGCUGCGGCAGGCUUAACACAUGCAAGUCGAGCGAGCGGCGGACGGGUGAGUAAUGCUUAGGAAUCUUCCUAUUAGUGGGGGACAACAUCUAGAAAGGGAUGCUAAUACCGCAUACUAAUAGAUGAGCCUAAGUCGGAUUAGGUAGUUGGUGGGUGAAAGGCCUUCCAAGGCGACGACCUGUAGCGGGUCUGUGAGGAUGAUACGCCACACUUGGAACUAGACAAGGCUCAGAAUCCGACGGGAUGCAGCAGGGGGUAAUAUUGGACAAUGGGGGGAACCCUAAGCCAGCAAGGCCGCGUGUGUGAAGAAGGCCUGAUGGUUGUAAAGCACUUUAAGCGAGGAGGCGUUACUCGCAGAAUAAGCACCGGCUGACUCUGUGCCAGCAGCCGCGGUAAUUC